AGGACUAACGCUGGCGGCGUGCCUAACACAUGCAAGUCGAACGAGGGGUAGCAAUACCCCUAGUGGCAGACGGGUGAGUAACACGUAGUCAACCUACCUCUUAAUGGGGGAUAACUAGCCGAAAGGUUAGCUAAUACCGCAUACGAUCGUCGAGUGGCAUCACACGACGAUGAAAGGAGCAAUCCGUUGAGAGAGGGGACUGCGUCCCAUUAGUUAGUUGGUGGGGUAAUGGCCUACCAAGACUCCGAUGGGUAGCUGGCUUGAGAGAGCGACCAGCCACACUGGAACUGAGACACGGUCCAGACUCCUACGGGAGGCAGCAGUGAGGAAUUUUGCGCAAUGGGGGAAACCCUGACGCAGCAACGCCGCGUGGAGGAUGAAAUCCCUUGGGAUGUAAACUCCUUUCGAUAGGGAAGAUAAUGACGGUACCUAUAGAAGAAGCCCCGGCUAACUUCGUGCCAGCAGCCGC
rnacentral:rRNA from 1 species